GCUGUGUGGUUUUCUGCAGAGUCCACUCUGUGGUCUGCAGACUCUGAGGUUGAGGGGCUGCAGUUUGUCAGAGAUCAGCUGUUCUUCUCUGGCCUCAGCUCUGAAGUCCAACCCCUCCCACCUGAAGGAGCUCCACCUGGAUUACAACCGGCUGCAGGAUCCAGAUGUGCAGCAGCUGGUUGCUCUCCAGCAGAGUCCAGACUGCAGCCUGCAGACUCUGAGGUCAGUAGAUGAGCUUCUUCCAGCACUGAGUGACAGAGGAAGCAGCAGAAGAGCUGCUGAGUGUCAGUGGUGCAGUGUGAAGAGCUGUGAGAGUCCAGCAUGGAACCAUGGAGCAUCAGUAGAUCUUCAGCGUUCAGCCCUGCUGCUCUCCCUCAUUUCACCAUCCUGAAGGAGAUUUAUCCAAAGAACCACUCAGAAAACGUUUUCAGAUCAACAACAUCUGCUGCUUCUGUGAGACUGGUGUAGAAACAACUGUCCAGAUGUUCUUCUCAUGCUCUCAGAUACAAUCUGCUUUGAUUUUCAAAGUGAUUCCAGACUAAAUCUCUUCAUUUCUGAGUCAUGUGACAGAAAACAGGAGAACUUUUGGACUGACUGCAGAAGAAAAAUGAUGAAUUGUUCAGUCAUGUAAUUCUCUGCUUGGUGAAGUUUUUCAUUCCUCUCAAUCACAUUUUAAAGUCAAUCCUCAACUUUCAAUGAUUUCUAAUUGUUUAGCAGCUCAGUAAAAAUGAUCAAACUACUAAGACACAGAUCUUAGACACAAUCUUUGAAACAGUCCAGAUUCAUUUGUCCUCUGUUCAUAAAAACUCUGUUUUGAUCAA